GCCGGGUGUGGUGGCGCACGCCUGUAGUCCCAGCUACUCGGGAAGCUGAGGUGGGAGGAUUGCUUGAGCCCAGGAGGUUGAGGCUGCAGUGAGCCAAGAUUGCACCACUGCCCUCCAGCCUGGGAAACAGAGUGAGACCCUGUCUCAA
ensembl:misc_RNA Metazoa_SRP Metazoan signal recognition particle RNA